rnacentral:tRNA from 1 species
GCGGUUGUAGCUCAGUCGGUUAGAGUACCGGCCUGUCACGCCGGGGGUCGCGGGUUCGAGNNCGAGCCCCGUCAACCGCGCCA